rnacentral:rRNA from 1 species
CCCCUACGGGGGGCAGCAGUGGGGAAUAUUGGGCAAUGGGGGAAACCCUGACCCAGCAACGCCGCGUGAAGGAAGAAGGCUUUCGGGUUGUAAACUUCUUUGACCAGGGACGAAACAAAUGACGGUACCUGGAAAACAAGCCACGGCUAACUACGUGCCAGCAGCCGCGGUAAUACGUAGGUGGCAAGCGUUGUCCGGAUUUACUGGGUGUAAAGGGCGCGUAGGCGGGGCUGCAAGUCAGAUGUGAAAUCUGGGGGCUUAACCCUCAAACUGCAUUUGAAACUGUGGCUCUUGAGUAUCGGAGAGGCAGGCGGAAUUCCUAGUGUAGCGGUGAAAUGCGUAGAUAUUAGGAGGAACACCAGUGGCGAAGGCGGCCUGCUGGACGACAACUGACGCUGAGGCGCGAAAGCGUGGGGAGCAAACAGGAUUAGAUACCCGGGUAGUCA